rnacentral:rRNA from 1 species
AUAGAUACCCAGGUAGUCCACGCCCUAAACGAUGCGAACUGGAUGUUGGGUACAUUACGGUACUCAGUGUCGAAGCUAACGCGUUAAGUUCGCCGCCUGGGGAGUACGGUCGCAAGACUGAAACUCAAAGGAAUUGACGGGGGCCCGCACAAGCGGUGGAGUAUGUGGUUUAAUUCGAUGCAACGCGAAGAACCUUACCUGGCCUUGACAUCUGUCGAAUCCUGCAGAGAUGCGGGAGUGCCGCAAGGAACGACAAGACAGGUGCUGCAUGGCUGUCGUCAGCUCGUGUCGUGAGAUGUUGGGUUAAGUCCCGCAACGAGCGCAACCCUUGUCCCUAGUUGCCAACACGUAAUGGUGGGAACUCUAGGGAGACUGCCGGUGACAAACCGGAGGAAGGUGGGGAUGACGUCAAGUCCUCAUGGCCCUUACGGCCAGGGCUACACACGUACUACAAUGGUCGGUACAGAGGGUUGCGAAGCCGCGAGGUGGAGCCAAUCCCAGAAAAGCCGAUCCCAGUCCGGAUUGGAGUCUGCAACUCG